AGUGAACGCUGGCGGUAGGCCUAACACAUGCAAGUCGAACGGCAGCUCAGUAAGAGCUUGCUCUUACGGGUGGCGAGUGGCGGACGGGUGAGGAAUACAUCGGAAUCUACUUUUUCGUGGGGGAUAACGUAGGGAAACUUACGCUAAUGCCGCAUACGACCUACGGGUGAAAGCAGGGGAUCUUCGGACCUUGCGCGAUUGAAUUAGCCGAUGUCGGAUUAGCUAGUUGGCGGGGUAAAGGCCCACCCAGGCGACGAUCCGUAGCUGGUCUGAGAGGAUGAUCAGCCACACUGGAACUGAGACACGGUCCAGACUCCUACGGGAGGCAGCAGUGGGGAAUAUGAGACAAUGGGCGAAAGCCUGAUCCAGCCAUACCGCGUGGGUGAAGAAGGCCUUCGGGUUGUAAAGCCCUUUUGUUGGGAAAGAAAAGCAGCAGGUUAAUACCCCGCUGUUCUGACGGUACCCAAAGAAGAAGCACCGGCUAACUUCGUG
rnacentral:rRNA from 1 species